UAAUAUAUUGGUUCGUGGGUAUUGUAAGAUGGGGUGGUUAUCGGAUGCUGCGAAGGUUAUUGAGUUGAUGAGUUUGAAUGGUGUCCCGCCUGAUCUUUGGACUUAUAAUACUUUGAUUGACGGCU
rnacentral:miRNA from 1 species